rnacentral:rRNA from 1 species
GAUGAACGCUGGCGGCGUGCCUAAUACAUGCAAGUCGAGCGAACGGACGAGAAGCUUGCUUCUCCGAUGUUAGCGGCGGACGGGUGAGUAACACGUGGAUAACCUACCUAUAAGACUGGGAUAACUUCGGGAAACCGGAGCUAAUACCGGAUAAUAUUUUGAACCGCAUGGUUCAAAAGUGAAAGACGGUCUUGCUGUCACUUAUAGAUGGAUCCGCGCUGCAUUAGCUAGUUGGUAAGGUAACGGCUUACCAAGGCAACGAUGCAUAGCCGACCUGAGAGGGUGAUCGGCCACAAUGGAACUGAGACACGGUCCAGACUCCUACGGGAGGCAGCAGUAGGGAAUCUUCCGCAAUGGGCGAAAGCCUGACGGAGCAACGCCGCGUGAGUGAUGAAGGUCUUCGGAUCGUAAAACUCUGUUAUUAGGGAAGAACAUAUGUGUAAGUAACUGUGCACAUCCUGACGGUACCUAAUCAGAAAGCCACGGCUAACUACGUG